UGUUUUGGACUAAAUUGUGUUGGAAGUUGUUUUGGACUAAGUUUUGCCUAUUUUUUUGCUUUUUUUUCGUGCUGUUCAUUACACAUUUUUGGAAAUUGUUUUCUUUGUAAAUUGUAGGAGUGUUCAGUGCAGUGCCAACACACAAUCUUGGGACGACAAAUCCUAGAAGUUCGAUUUCAGUCGGGACCUGUUUUUUUAUGGAAACUGAAAGUUUCGAAUAUUGUAGUCUUUCAUGUCUGCUAACUUUUGUCGGCAUAGGUUCCGCAGAAAGGUUCGUUUUCCAUAAGCAUUUUGAAAGCUCUUUGUAAAGUUUAUAGUGGUGCAGGUAGUUUUUUUUGCAGGAAUUUUUCGUCCUUUCUUGCAAGUUUUGUAACCUUUUUUGACGUUUUUUGAAGCUUUUUUUUUUAAAUUUUCGAUUUGUCUUUUCAUUUGUUGGUAAUUGUAGUCAUCAAUUUUUGUAUCUCAAGUGAAGCGAAGCUCCGCAUCGCCUCUUUGUGAAAGAAUCGUUUCUGUUUUCAAACAUCUUCUGCACGUUGUCCCGUCGAUUUUCUCUGGAUAGGUACGUGAAGUACUUCGUCCAACAUAAAAACUUAGUCCUGUUCUUAUUUCCAAAUAUCCAUGAGAUAAACAGAAAUACUCAUUUGCAGUAUCUGAAAUGAGAGUUUGACUUCUUCCGCUCGUUAUUCUAUUAAACUAAGUGACGUUUCCAAUAUGGUUUUGGGUGCAGUAAGAUAUGCAUUGACUUGAAUUUAAAUGUUUAGUUCUAAUCUGGUUGCUCUAUACUUAAAAGGUGUGGCACUUGGCCAGCGUGGUGGUUGGUGGGUCCAAAUUCUCCGUAUGGGGGUGAAAUUGAUAUUAUCGAGGGUGUUAAUAUGCAAACUCACGAUGACACUACCUUACACACGGGACCAGGAUGUGAUUUUACAAACGUAUCUCGGAACUUCUCAGGAAAUAUAGUCAGUUUCCAAGACUGCGAUUCUACCAAAACUUCGGGAUGUACAAUAUCAAGCGACAACAUAAAUUCGUACGGAGCCCAUUUGAAUUCAAGAAAUGGAGGACUAUAUGCUCUUGAAUGGACUUCUGAUGGUGUCUUUUCGUGGUUCUGGACCGAAGGCGAAAUUCCUAGCGAUGCUCUUGGAAACAACCCAAACCCCGAGACAUGGGGUGAGGCCUACGCCAGUUUCCCUUUCGGAAGCUAUUGUCCCCCUUCAAAUUUCGAGAACCAGACAUUAAUCUUAAAUUUGGACUUCUGCGGGGACUGGGCUGGCAAUGUGUUCGAAUCUGACUGUCCUGGUAAAGGCACUUGUGUUGAUUACGUCAUGAAUAAUCCACAAGAGUUUCAAGAUGCGUACUGGAACAUCCAUUGGAUGAAAGUUUUCUGUUAGAUUUUCAGAGGUUUACUUGAGGAUCUACGAUGAGUUAUGUUUGAUUUUAAAAGAGUAUAACGGAUUUAUAACUAUGGCAUUAAUAAAACUUCCACAUAUCUUGUAUAGCAGUUGGUAUGUCUGACCAAUGAAUAUU